rnacentral:tRNA from 1 species
GAGGUUAUAGCUCAGUGGUAGAGGGCAUGCCUAGCAUGCACGAGGUCCUGGGUUCAAUCCUCAGUACCUCCA